rnacentral:rRNA from 1 species
AGGGAUCAUUACCGAGUUUACAACUCCCAAACCCAAUGUGAACGUUACCAAUCUGUUGCCUCGGCGGGAUUCUCUGCCCCGGGCGCGUCGCAGCCCCGGAUCCCAUGGCGCCCGCCGGAGGACCAACUCAAACUCUUUUUUCUCUCCGUCGCGGCCUACGUCGCGGCUCUGUUUUAUUUUUGCUCUGAGCCUUUCUCGGCGACCCUAGCGGGCGUCUCGAAAAUGAAUCAAAACUUUCAACAACGGAUCUCUUGGUUCUGGCAUCGAUGAAGAACGCAGCGAAAUGCGAUAAGUAAUGUGAAUUGCAGAAUUCAGUGAAUCAUCGAAUCUUUGAACGCACAUUGCGCCCGCCAGUAUUCUGGCGGGCAUGCCUGUCCGAGCGUCAUUUCAACCCUCGAACCCCUCCGGGGGGUCGGCGUUGGGGAUCGGCCCCUCACCGGGCCGCCCCCGAAAUACAGUGGCGGUCUCGCCGCAGCCUCUCCUGCGCAGUAGUUUGCACACUCGCACCGGGAGCGCGGCGCGGCCACAGCCGUAAAACACCCCAAACUCUGAAAUGUUGACCUCGGAUCAGGUAGGAAUACCCGCUGAACUUAAGCAUAUCAAUAA